UACGUAGGUGGCAAGCGUUGUCCGGAAUUAUUGGGCGUAAAGCGCGCGCAGGCGGUUCCUUAAGUCUGAUGUGAAAGCCCACGGCUCAACCGUGGAGGGUCAUUGGAAACUGGGGAACUUGAGUGCAGAAGAGGAAAGUGGAAUUCCACGUGUAGCGGUGAAAUGCGUAGAGAUGUGGAGGAACACCAGUGACGAAGGCGACUUUCUGGUCUGUAACUGACGCUGAGGCGCGAAAGCGUGGGGAGCAAACAGG
rnacentral:rRNA from 1 species